GCUCAUAGCUUUCUGGUUUCUGUAUCUGAUUAUAUAAUUCAACUGUACAAGAGAUGCUGACAUUGGAAUAAUAUCACAUUUGAUAUGUAAGCCUAUUGGUUAACUUUGAGGAUAAUGAUAUUGACAUAUCUUUGAAAUAUCUAAGUACAGAUGAAAAAUAAGUGGAAUAGAGGAGAGGUUUUGUUUACCAUACACCAUAAAAUGAAUAAUAUUUAAAGCCAACAAUGUGUGACAUUGCUUACAGUGUGAGAAGAAGAGACAGCCUAGGCCUGAGCUUUGAGGAAUUUUAACCAGAAAAAUAGCAGAGAGGGAAAAAAAAACAGUAUUGGUCAUUGACUGCAAACUAUGAGUCUUUCUAAAAUAGUUAACAAUCUUGAAUGCUACUGAGAACUCAAAAAACUAAGGAUUGAAAAAUGUUUAACUACAUUUAGAGAGGACUCUUUGUACAGAUUAAGUGAGUCCACAGAGCAUGGUCUUCUACCUGAGACAGAGGCGAGAUAACAAAGACAGUGCAGAUAAUGUUUCACAAAGGUUAGCUAGAAAUGGAGAGAGAAGUGUAGUAGUGAUUGAGCAGAAAGUGGGGUGAAGGGAUCCUUUAUGAGAAAGGAUAAACAUUGAGAAAGGUUAAAUAUGUAAAGAAGCAUGAAUAAUCAAUGCUGUAAAGGUCAUGAAGAGGUAGAGAAUGGAAUCCAAGCAACAGAAAUGGAUCUUAGAUAGGAAAAGAUAACCUACUGAAAUAAACUAGGAAAUUGGAGAAGUCAAGAUUUUUAAAGGAGUUGUAAAAGUCUGAAAUACCUGUGGAAUGUGAUAGAGCAAACAGAGAUCAGAGAAAUAUAGAUCAAUUUUUGGGUCAUGUUGAGAUUGCAUUUGUGCUUGGUAAUCAUAAAUCGAAAGUGGAACCAAUCUGCACUUUUGUGUGACCUUUUCCAAUAGGGCAUAGUUAUCUCAGUUCUAAAUGUAAUAGAUGGGAAAUGCAAUAGAUAGAUUUAUCUAGUUUGAGAGUUUUGCUAGAUAUGAAAAAUAAAAAGAGAAGUAGGUGUGAUAAACUAUGCUACUGACAAGUUUAAAAUUGAAAUUAUGGACUAUGGACUUUCUUUUGAAUAAGGAGUAAAAUAAUGUUGUCUCAAAUAAGUGCAGCUGUUUCUACCUUUGUGCAGGUAAAGUUUGCAAAGACCUGAAAACUAUGGUCAAAUAAGUACAAAAUCUCCCAACAAAAGGAGAAGUAAAGAAUACCGAGGCGGUAUCUACCAUUGUGUUUACCUGAAAGAUCUACACUGAGCUAUCUCGAGGUUGCAGUGGUAGCGACGUGUGUGAGGUUGGCUGAGUUAUGGUCAUGGAAUCUGUUUUGUGGAAUUCACUCUUCUCACAGUGAUUAUAUACCAAUGGAUGUGAAUUAUUGUGCAUAAUAUUAAGUUAUCCAAUAUCUAAUCCUGAGCAUGAAGUUUAUAAUGUUCUUUUGAAAUUUAAGGACAUUUGUAAGUAUCCUCUAGUUUCAUUUCUGCUCUCUAUUUCUAACAGGUGACACAUGGGCAUUUGACCUAGAUGGAAAACAAUGUAAAUUUAUUUCAAGGACAAUAUUAUCAGAUUGUGAUGGCUAUUGGGAAUCCAGUAUUAAGGGUUCCAACCCAAAAUGCAUUCUCUGGAAGAAAUGAUGAUCUGACUACCAAUGUUUUUUUUUUUGUUUUUUGCUUGUUUAUUUGUUUUUUGGUUUGGUUGGUUGGUAUAGACUCACAUAUGAUUCAUUUAUACCAUCCUCUAUAAACCUCAAUCCAGGUUUUUCCCAAAUUAUUGUAUUAAUUUCCAUGACACUUUCAUCUUAUUUUUUAAUUCCCAUUGCCAAAACACAUGGAUGCUUUCCCCUAUUUGACCUAUUAGUUGCCUGGAAGCCUACCAGUAAGAAUAAAUCUCUCUCUCUCUCUCUCUCUCUCACACACACACACACACACACACACACAGAGUCAUUCCUCCUAGAUUAUCUGGAUUCUUAGUCUUUGUUUAUAUGUUUCCUUCAUGGUCUUGUUUUUUGAAAAUAUAAUAGAUAAAUUUGGCCUAUUCUUCUCGGGUCAGGUAAACCCAUUAAAGCCAAAAACAAAAACAACUUUUUGACCCACAACACAUAACUUUUACUUCCAAGCAACUAUGUUGAAGAUCACUUUAAUUAUCAUCAGCUACUAACAACUAUGUUAUUCUUUUGACCUGAAAUUUAUAGCUGCUCAAAAACCUUAAGGUGGUAACAUAAAAUGAAAGCAAGUACCGAUUUGAAAUAUGGAGAUUACAAAUUGGGAAUUUACAGCUGAAAUCCACGUCUGUGCUGAAGCCAGUGGAAGUGAAGAAGGGAAACUGUUGUGGUAAAAAUGAAAAAGUACAGAAGGGUGAUAUUUUUACUAAUUAGUAAAAGAGCUUAAGUUUGGGUCUGCUUCUUAGUUUUUCCUUUUGCAAUUAUUUGGAAUUUUUCUUUUUUUCAAAGAAAAUGAAUAAUUUAAAUAUGAAGCAACAUUUACAAAGGAGACAGAAUGCUUUCAUGUUCUUGCAACUGUCUGUAUGUAAAGAUAACCAGGAUUCAAUAAGUUAUAAAUACAGAUUAAAUGAAGGACAUGUGAAGAUUACCUGGUAUCCACUAUCUUUUCACUUAUUAAAGAACAUCUGAGAAUAGGGAGCCAUCUGCUACUAUCAUGUAAACAGGCCAAAAGGACUGGGCAGAGGAGCACAAGUCUGGUAUUACAGCCACAUCUGCUGGCCCAGAUCUCAGCUGGGCUCUUGCCCCAGAGGUAUGGAGGACCCAAGGACACCAAUUCUGG